UUUGGGUAGUCUUAACUGACCUGAUUCUUUCUUCUGAUUGUUCAUAUUGGAUAUUGAACCCCUCUAGUUAAUUUUUAUUUUCACUUAUUAUUCUUUUAUUUAUUUUUUGGUCAUGCCCACAGCAUGUGGAAGUUCCCAGGCCAGGAAUUAAACUCACACCACAGCAGUGACCUGAGCCACUGCAGUGCCUAUGCCAGAUCUUUAGCCUGCUCUGCACAAGAACACUCCCAUUAUCGUAUUUUGUUGUUGUUGUUGUUGUUUUUUAGGGCUGUACCCUCGGCAUAUGGAGGUUCCCAGGAAAAAGAUUUAAAGUGCUCAGUCGACAUAGGUACAUGGAAGCCACUUUUUUGGGGUGUGGGGGUGAGGGCUGUGAUGGCAGCAUGAAAAAGUUCACAGGCCAGGGGUCAAACUCAUGCCAGAGCAGCAACCCAGGCUGCCUCAGUGACAACUCCAGAUCCUUAAUCUGCUGCACCACAAGGGACUCCUAUGGAAGUCAUUUGUGAGCUUAAGAUUAUUUUCCAAUGGGGUGAUAUUGGCAUUUUGAGUGGGCAAAUUCUUUUUUUGGGGGGGGGGGUUAUUAGGGCUGCACCCAUGGCAUAGGGAAGUUCCCAGGCUUAGGGGUUGAAUCAGAGCUACAGCCUAUGCCACAGCCACAGUAACGUGGCAUCUGAACAGCUUGUGCAACCUAAACUACAGCUCAUGGUGCUGCUGGAUCCUUAAGCCACUGAGCGAGGCCAGGGAUUGAACCUGCAUCCUCAUAGAUACUAGUUGCAUUCAUUACUGCUGAACCACGACAGGAACUCCUUGAGUGGGAAAAUUGUUAAAGGGAUUGUCCUACACCCUGCAAUGUGUUAGGCAUUCUUGAUCUCCAACAACUAAACACCAAAAGCACUGCUCCACCCAUCCUCAAGUUAUAACCAAAAGUGUAAGUGAAAACCAAACCAAACCAAACCAAACCAAAACUUGACUAUUUCCAAGGCCCCCCUAGAGAAUCAGCACAUGUUGAUGAACCACUGCAUUGGGAAAGUUUUGGUGAUGUUAUGAGGGAGACAGAAAUUAGACUAACUGAAUGAAUGAAACCAGUGAGUUUCUAGGGACAAGUCUUACUGGAAAUUUGACUUAAGUGAGGGAUGUGAGAGAGCAGUAAGCAGGGUCAAGAAAAGGUGUUUUAAAAAUUUUAUUGAAGUACCAUUGAGUUACAACGUGUUAACAUCUGCUGCACAAAAAAGUGAUUCAGUUAUGUAUUUUUAUAUUCUUUUCCACUAUGGUUAUCACAGGGUAUUGAAUAAAGUUCCCUGUGCUAUACAGCAGAACCCUGUUGUUUAUCCAUUCCAUAUACACUGUUUGCAUCUGCUAAUCCUAAACUGCCAAUUCUUCCCUCUCCCACCAACCUCCCCCAUGGCAACCACAGACCCUUUUCUGUGUCUCUGAGUCUGUUACUGUUUUGCAGAUAUGUUCAUUUGUACCAUUUUAUGGCUGCAUUCUCAGCAUAUGGAAGUUUCUAGGCUAGGGGUUGAAUCAGAGCUGUAGCUGCUGGCCUACACCACAGCCACAGCCACACUGGAUCUGAGCUGCACCUGUGACCUACACUGUAGCUUGUGGCAAUGCCAGAUCCUUAACCCACUGAGCGAGGCCAGGGAUUGAACCUGCAUUCUUAAGGAGAUAACACUGGGUCCUUAACCCACUAAGUCACAAUAGGAACUCCUUUAUCAUAUUUUAGAUUCCAUAUAUAACUGAAAACAUAUUUGUCUUUCUCAUUCUGACUUGAUUUGCUUAGUAUGAUAAUCCCUAGGUAUAUCUAUGUUGCUACAAAUGGCAUUAUUUCAUCCCUUUUAUUCCUAAGUAAUAUUUCAUUGUAUAGAUGCACCAUGUCUUCUUUACCCAAUGUCACCUCUUACGGUCAUUUAGGACAUUUCCACAUCUGGGCUAUUGCAGACAGUGCUGCUAUGAACAUCUCUUUUUGAAUUAGAGUUUUGUCUGGAUAUAUGCCCGGGAGUGGGACUGCUGGAUCAUAUGGCACCUCUAUACUGUUUUCCAUAGUGGCUGCACCAAUUUAAACUCUCACCAACAGUGUAAGAGAGUUCCCUCUUAUCCUCACCCUCUUCAGCAUUUAUUAUUUGUGGACUUUUUAAUGAUGGCCAUUCUGACCAGUGUGUGAUUGCACCUCAUUUUAGUUUAAAAAAAUUUUAUUUUUUAUUUGCUUUUCAGGGCCGCACUUGCGGCAUAUGGAGGUUUCCAGGCUAGGAGUUGAAUCAGAGCUACGGCUACCAGCCUACGCCACAGCCACUGCAACGUGGGAUCCAAGCUGCAUCUUCAACCUACACCACAGCUCACGGCAAUGCCAGAACCAACUGAGCAAAGCCAGGGAUCAAACCUGCGUCCUCAUGGAUCCUAGUCUGGUUUGUGAACUGCUGAGCCAUGACGGGAACUCCUGCAGUUUUCUUUUUUUAAUAAAUUUUGUUGGAGUACAAUUGACUUAGAAAGUUGUGUUAAUUUCAGGUGUACCUCACUGUAGUUUUUCAUUUCUCUAUUAAUUUGUGAUGAUGAUCAUUUUUUGGGAGGGGGGGGCUGUGCCUAUGGCACACAAAAGCUCCCAAGCCAGGGAUCAAACCCAAGCCACAGCAGUGAUCCAAGCCACUACAGUGACAAUGCCAGAUCCUUAACCCACUGUGCCACAGGAGAAUUCUGAUGAGCAUCUUUUCAUGUGCCUGUUGGCCAUCUGUAGGUCUUCUCUGAAGCAAUAUCUAUUUAGGGGAUGGUUCUUUUUUGGGGAGGGGGGAACACAAAGGAUUCAGAUAUGUUUAAAAAGCAAUGGAGGAGUUCCCAUCGUGGCUCAGUGGUUAACGAAUCUGACUAGGAACCAUGAGUUGAGGAUUCAAUCCCUGGCCUUGCUCAGUGGGUUAAGGAUCCGGCGUUGCUGUGAGCUGUGGUGUAGGUCACAGACGCGUUGCAUCCUGCGUUGCUGUGGCUCUGGCGUAGACCAGCGGCUACAGCACUAAUUAGACCCCUAGCCUGGGAACCUCCAUGUGCCAUAGGAG
rnacentral:lncRNA from 1 species